AUGCUCACUCCAUCAGCACAUAUACUAAAAUUGGAAUAAUAUAGAUUAGCAUGGCCCCUGUGUGAGAAUGACAUUCCAAUUUGCUCCAAUUCCUGCUUCUUC
ensembl:snRNA U6 U6 spliceosomal RNA